GGAUGACAUUAUAAACCAACUAGAACAAGUAGUAUCCAAUAUGGAAAAAAGAAUUGAUACUCUAAGUUGGAAAAUAAAAAAAUUUGAAAGUGUGUGCUUUGCAGAAACCGAAAGUUCACAUACAAAGAACACAGAAAUGACCAGAAUACGUUCACUGAUACAUUACAAAUGCAAGUCAAUUUAGCAAAAAGCAGAGUAGAAACAUUAAUUGCGUUAGUCACGAAAGGAAAAACAAUUGAUAUAUAAC